rnacentral:snoRNA from 1 species
CUAUGAAUUAUUCUUGCUGUUCUGAUUUUGUAAUAAUCAGGGCAGGCCAAAUAUUCGGUAUAAUAAUAAGUCUUUGCAUUUGUCCCCAGACCUAGUUCUUUACCUACCUUUCCUACCUUGUUCUAGUCUUAGAAAUGAUGGUGUUAACU